rnacentral:lncRNA from 1 species
UUAUGUGUGCAUAUUGUCUGAAUACUUGUUGUCUAUGCUGGUGAAAGAUUUUUAUACAUGUUUUAAAUGAUGUAAACUGUAUAAAGUAUUUUAUAUCUACAAAAUAUGUUGGGUAAAACAUGGGUAGAUGAAUGAUGAUGGAUAAAAGCUGAAAUAGAGGAACAUUAGUAGUACGGACCUAGUGCCCUAUAGGUAUACAUUGGCAGCAGUGGACCUAGUACCCUAUAGAUGAGCACUGGCAGCUGCGCCACAACCCGUAGAUGAUUUAGAUCUACGGUAAACGUCCUAGCAGCUGCGCUCUAAGGAUAGUAUCGGCAGUUGCGCCUAAUAGGGAGCCUUAUGACCAUGACAGUAGUGUUUAAAGGUCAAUACCGGCAGAAGCGCCUCAUAGAAAAUGUCCUAAUUCUGGCAGCUGAGCCUAAGUGACAAUAUUAGCAGCUGCGCUUGACCAAUGUGUCAUUGGCAACAAUGGACUUCAUGUUGUUUCCUUAGGAUGAUCCUUAGGAAUGAAUGAAUGAGAAAUAGCUGAUUCUUAGGGUAGAUCCUUAAGAAUAAAGAAGAUAAUGGGGAUGGGUAAUUGGGUUGAUUGUUUGAUUGUUUAAACAUAAUAAUUAUAUUAUUGUGGGUUGAAAACCCUAUGUACUCACCAGGUUUCCCAACCUGACCCACUCAGUUUAUUUAUAUCACAGGUGUUGAUAUGAAGUGACAUUACACUGAGAGAUUUAAAGAGAUGUAGAUCACUAGUGUAAAUAAUUGUAAGUUCUGUUUAUGCUUAUGUUUCUGUAUUAACGAUGACAUCCCAAACGUUUUAAAAUGAAAUAAAUACGUUUCUUCGAAAAUGUUUUAAUAACGUAUUUACCAUGUUUUUCUGGGAACAAAUUCCGCAACAUUUUUAUAAAAUGAAGUACUCUGAUUUUUAUAAAGCAUAAACAACAUCGGUCUUUUCUGGCCGUGAAAAUGGGGAUGUCACAGUUGGUAUCAGAGCAUUAGUUUAAGCGAACUAGGAAUAUGGAUUUAUUUCUAGACUUAAACUUAGAAUGCUAAGCGAUGAUUGUGAGGUGUGAGCACUAGCUUAUUUUAGGAAUUGUGCCUAAAAUGCUUUUAUGUGCUAAAUGCUUGUGCCUGAUAUGCUGUUAUUUGUUCGGAUCUAUGGUUUGUUGCCGACCGGAUCUGGAAACCUUAUGUGUUUAGGAUUCUAAGCGUUUAACUACGAUAUUAGAACUAGCAUAUAAACGUUUCGGAGUGAUAAGAAUGAUUUAAACGUCAAUCCUAAGUAAAGGUCUAGAUUCACCUUAUUCGGCGUAUAGAUCAAGAUGGCAAGAACCCGUAGCGGAAACGUGAAUGCAAAUGGGAACCGAGAUCAACCCCCAGCGAUUGAGCAAAUACCGGUUGUGGUAGCCGCUGCUGAGCCAAUAACGAUGGCAGGAGUGCAAGCGAUGAUCCAAGCAAUGUUGGAUCGUCAAAUGGAGGAAACCAGACGUUUGCUCCAGCAAAAUCGAGAGGAAGCGACUAUUCAGAUCGAACAGCCCAAGUUGAACGAAGGGCAGACUGAGGAAGGAAACUACAGUGGGACUGUUGGUCAAGUCAACCCACCAAUAGUUCGACAAAACAACCAAGAUGACGAAGUCGAGAGGAAUGGAUGCAAGUACAAGGAUUUUCUGACUUGCAAGCCAUCGACUUUCACUGGAAAGGAGGAUCCGAUCGGGGUCAUGGAUUGGAUCUCGGAGAUGGAAUUAGCUUUCAUGACGUGCGGUUGCAAGGGAAAACAACAGACCACGUUUGCAGUGCGUCAGUUUCGAGGAGGUGUUGUACGAUGGUGGAAUACCUUGGGAAAGACGCUGAGCCCCAAUGAGCCCCUGCAACUGACAUGGGUAGAAUUUCUGGUGCAUUUCAAACGUAGGUACUGCUCAGCCCAAAAUCUGCUCGAGCUAGAAAACCAAUUCCUUACCUUAAAGAAAGGAAGCAUGUCUAUUGAUGAAUACACCAACAACUUCACAGAGAAGAUGGAGUUCGCCUUACGUCUUGUUCCGGAUGAGCUGACAAAAAUUGACAAGUACGCAAAAGGACUUCCAUGGGAAUAUGCAGUGCCAGUGCGUCAGGCACCUACUUUGGAGGCAGCUAUCUGGGCUGCCAAGUCGGUUGAGGAGAUGAUCAAGGGAAGAGCCGCCAACAAGACCGAGGUUGGCGAAAAGAGGAAGUUUGAGGGGUCUGCGAAGCCCGAUGAGAGAAGCAAAUCAAGUACCAGGAAGUUUAGAGGAGGAGGGAGUGAAGAAAGAUGGUGCGAGAAGUGCAAAAAGAAACACUCUGGAAAAUGCAGUGAGGAAGUAACUUGUUUCAAGUGUGGGAAGCAUGGGCAUUAUGCCAACGAGUGUAAAUUCAAUAAAAGGGUGUGUUACGAAUGUAAUGAGGAAGGACACUUCAAGCAAGAUUGCCCAAAGAGAGAGGGGGCUACAAAGCCAAAUGUGCCGCCAAAGCCAAAGGCGAGAGCAUUUCAAAUGAUCCUUGACGAAGCAGAUGACAAUGCGAGGAUUCAGGAGUGACAACUUGACAUCCAAAGAUCGAGUUAUGAGGUAGCCAUAGAAUCGUAUGAUGUAGCCUGUUAGAGGCAUAUUCUAGGGUGAACUUGAACACCUAUGUAAUAGUUUCAAGGAAUAAUAAAAACCUUCGUUUUGAUAUCUGAUGUGUUAAGCUGUUAUAUGAUUUUCUUGUGUGGUGACUUGGAAAACUGUGGGACAAUACCUGAGACGAGUAUGAGUAGGUGUGAAUGGUAGUAGAGGCCUAUACUACCGGAAGCACAGGACUCACACUUGGAUCAGGGAAAGUCACAAGGUUACCAAGAAGCUAGUAAUUGAUUUCGUUUUAUUCAAGUGUGUUGUUACCAUCGUUUCGGUAAUGACUAAGAAGAUUGUUGAUAUUCCGACCCUAGUGGUCAUAUCGAAUCGAGUCCGACUACGAUGAGUAUGUUGUGUGGUUCAGAGAACCAAGUUUGAUGUAGCGUCCGACUUAAACCAAACGGUUGAAAUCAAAGCGAUCAAUAGAAGUAUCGCACUCGUUGUUAAAGAAGUUGGUGGCUAGAAAUGCCUAAUGUUAAAGUGUGAUUAUAUCACAUUAGAACAUGAAGGAAGGCAUAGUCUGUUUUAGAAUUUAACUCUAAGAGACCUAAGUCUAAGUGUUGCAACAUACGAUGAUAGGUCAUUAGAAUAUGACACAUCGAUCUAUAGUAGUAAUAAAAGAACUUAUCUCAAGUCCGUAUCCAGCAAGGAUCGAGAUUGUGACUUGAAGGUCAUAAUUUGGAGUCUAACCUGAGGUAGAGAGCAGGUGCACGAUCGAGUACUCUUACAGUCAAUGAGUUUAAGAGAUAGAAUUGAAGGAAUGUAGAAGUUAUAAUUAUUACCUAGGAUGAAGAGAUGACGUAUGGAGUCAUUAUACGACCCUGUUUCGUUGAUGAUUCCGGGACGUAAUCAUCCUAAGGGGGAGAUAAUUGUAACGCCCGCAAAUCUGGGCUAGUCAAAUUAGAGGCAAUAGGGGUCGAAAACGACUUUUCGACAAAAGAUUAUUUAGAAUAAAUAAUCUUAAUCAAGUUGUAGAGUAUGUUACAAGGUUUUCGUACAUAUAAAGAACGCCGAAAACCGAGUUAUAACGAAGAAGUUAUGACCCGUUGAAGUUUCGCGACGGAACCGGCACGAUACCGGGAAGCGUAAAUAGUGAAUUUACGAUAGAGCGAGAUUUAGCCUUAGCGAUCUAAACGAAAGUCGUAGAAUAUGUUAAACUAAGAACAUCGAUAAAAAGAACGCCCAAAUCUGACUUCGUAUGAGGAAGUUAUGAUUUUUCUAAGAUUUAGCAUAGCAGUGCACAGCCCGAAAUCUGAAUUUUAGAUCGGUCGAUUUUUAGCCGACGGGAUCUAAAUGAAAGUUGUAGUACUCGUAAAUACCAACGCGUGGAUAUAAAGAACGUCGAUAAUAGAGCUCGUAUGCAAAAGUUAUGGACGAAGCUUAGUCCCUACUUUUCGAGCGCGGCGAAUUCGAUACAGUUUUGUAAAUACGAGAUAGAAUGAGAAUUAGCCAACGAGGUCUAAAUGAGAGUUGAAGAUCUCAUUAAUAGGAACUCAACGGUAAAAAGACAGACAAAAAUGGAGCUCGUAUGCGAAAGUUAUGGACGAAGCUUAGUCCCUACUUUUCGAGCGCGGCGAAUUUGAUACAGUUUUGUAAAUCCGAGAUAGAAUGAGAAUUAGCCAACGAGGUCUAAAUGAAAGUUGAAGAUCUCAUUAAUAGGAACUCAACAGUAAAAAGACAGACAAAAACGGAGCUCGUAUGCAAAAGUUACGGACGAAGCUUGGAGACUACUUUACUAUACACUUCCUAUAAAUACAAGGGUGAACUCCUCAUAUUUUCUUCACACCAUAAGCCUUUCUUUCUCUCUCUAACUUCUCUCUAGCCUCCCUAAACCCCUCCCAAGUCUACGGAACCUCCCUAGCACGAGAAGAAAGCCCCGGAGCGCCCGACGGCUCCGAGAAGAAAAGCUUUCGGCUUGGAAACGCUGCUCCAGCGAAGCCCGGUUUUUAAUAAAAACUCGCUGUAAGUGAGCUACGCCUAUACUAUAUUUAAUAUAGAUUUUAUUUAAUUAUAGUAACAUUAUUAGGACCUUAAAAUAAUUAUUUGGGCUAUUAUUAUGAGUUAUAUUGAGUGUUAUUUAACGCUUAUAUAAUAGUAAUAAUAGCUAGACUAUUAAUUAGUCGUGGUUAACGUUAAAAACUAAACCCUAGUGGUAUUGAUACUAGGUUUUGUCGAGGAAAAUUGUUUUGAGAUAACGAAGUGCUGUCUGAGUUCGGAAUCACCACCUAAUCAGGUGAGUGCAUGGUCUCUUUCAUCUUACACAUAGAUAUGAAGUAUUUUAAUAUAAAUUACGUGUUAUGUGUGCAUAUUGUCUGAAUACUUGUUGUCUAUGCUGGUGAAAGAUUUUUAUACAUGUUUUAAAUGAUGUAAACUGUAUAAAGUAUUUUAUAUCUACAAAAUAUGUUGCGUAAAACAUGGGUAGAUGAAUGAUGAGGGAUAAAAGCUGAAAUAGAGGAACAUUAGUAGUACGGACCUAGUGCCCUAUAGGUAAUACAUUGGCAGCAGUGGACCAAGUACCCUAUAGAUGAGCACUGGCAGCUGCGCCACAACCCGUAGAUGUUUUAGAUCUACGGUAAACGUCCUAGCAGCUGCGCUCUAAGGACAGUAUCAACAGCUGUGCCUAAUAGGGAGCCUUAUGACCAUGACAGUAGCGUUAAAAGGUCAAUACCGGCAGAAGCGCCUCAUAGGAAAUGUCCCAAUUCUGGCAGCUGUGCCUAAGUGACAAGAUUAGCAGCUGCGCUUGACCAAAGUGUCAUUGGCAACAAUGGACUUCAUGUUGUUUCCUUAGGAUGAUCCUUAGGAAUGAAUGAAUGAGAAAUAGCUGAUUCUUAGGGUAGAUCCUUAAGAAUAAAGAAAAUAAUAGGGAUGGGUAAUUGGGUUGAUUAUUUGAUUGUUUAAACAUAAUAAUUAUAUUAUUGUGGGUUGAAAACCCUAUGUACUCACCAGGUUUCCCAACCUGACCCACUCAGUUUAUUUAUAUCACAGGUGUUGAUAUGAAGUGACAUUACACUGAGAGAUUUAAAGAGAUGUAGAUCACUAGUGUAAAUAAUUGUAAGUUCUGUUUAUGCUUAUGUUUCUGUAUUAACGAUGACAUCCCAAACGUUUUAAAAUGAAAUAAAUACGUUUCUUCGAAAAUGUUUUAAUAACGUAUUUACCAUGUUUUUCUGGGAACAAAUUCCGCAACAUUUUAAAAAAAUGAAGUACUAUGAUUUUUAUAAAGCAUAAA